rnacentral:rRNA from 1 species
UACGUAGGGUGCAAGCGUUAAUCGGAAUUACUGGGCGUAAAGCGUGCGCAGGCGGUAAUGUAAGUCAGAUGUGAAAGCCCCGGGCUCAACCUGGGAAUUGCAUUUGAGACUGCGUAGCUAGGGUGCGGAAGAGGGAAGCGGAAUUUCCGGUGUAGCGGUGAAAUGCGUAGAUAUCGGAAGGAACACCAGUGGCGAAAGCGGCUUCCUGGUCCAGCACCGACGUUCAGGCACGAAAGCGUGGGGAGCAAACAGG